AUGAACGCUGGCGGCGUGCUUAACCCAUGCAAGUCGAACGAAGCAUUUAAGACAGAUUACUUCGGUUUGAAGUCUUUUAUGACUGAGUGGCGGACGGGUGAGUAACGCGUGGGUAACCUGCCUCAUACAGGGGGAUAGCAGCUGGAAACGGCUGGUAAUACCGCAUAAGCGCACAGUACCACAUGGUACAGUGUGAAAAACUCCGGUGGUAUGAGAUGGACCCGCGUCUGAUUAGCUUGUUGGCGGGGUAACGGCCCACCAAGGCGACGAUCAGUAGCCGACCUGAGAGGGUGACCGGCCACAUUGGGACUGAGACACGGCCCAGACUCCUACGGGAGGCAGCAGUGGGGAAUAUUGCACAAUGGAGGAAACUCUGAUGCAGCGACGCCGCGUGAGUGAAGAAGUAGUUCGCUAUGUAAAGCUCUAUCAGCAGGGAAGAUAGUGACGGUACCUGACUAAGAAGCUCCGGCUAAAUACGUG
rnacentral:rRNA from 1 species